AAUCAACGCUGGCGGCGUGCCUAACACAUGCAAGUCGAACGCGAGAGGGGCUUCGGCCCCGAUUGAGUGGCGAACGGGUGAGUAACGCGUGGGUGACCUACCUUCGAGUGGGGGAUAACGUCCCGAAAGGGACGCUAAUACCGCAUAACAUCCUGCUUUUGAAUGGGUGGAGAUCAAAGCCGGGGAUCGCAAGACCUGGCGCUUGAUGAGGGGCCCGCGUCUGAUUAGCUAGUUGGUGAGGUAACGGCCCACCAAGGCAACGAUCAGUAUCCGGCCUGAGAGGGCGGACGGACACACUGGGACUGAGACACGGCCCAGACUCCUACGGGAGGCAGCAGUGGGGAAUCUUGCGCAAUGGGCGAAAGCCUGACGCAGCGACGCCGCGUGAGGGAUGACGCC
rnacentral:rRNA from 1 species